rnacentral:rRNA from 1 species
UACGUAGGGUGCGAGCGUUGUCCGGAAUUAUUGGGCGUAAAGAGCUCGUAGGCGGUUUGUCACGUCUGCUGUGAAAUCCCGAGGCUCAACCUCGGGCCUGCAGUGGGUACGGGCAGACUGGAGUGCGGGUAGGGGAGAAUGGAAUUCCUGGUGUAGCGGUGGAAUGCGCAGAUAUCAGGAGGAACACCGGUGGCGAAGGCGGAUCUCUGGGCCAUUACUGACGCUGGAGGAGCGAAAGCGUGGGGAGCGAACAGG